rnacentral:tRNA from 1 species
UGCGGGGUAGAGCAGCCCGGUAGCUCGCUAGGCUCAUAACCUAGAGGUCCCUGGUUCAAAUCCAGGCCCCGCUACCA